GAAGGUGUGCUGUGAGGCAUGCUGGAGGUAUCAGAAGUGCGAAUGCUGACAUAAGUAACGAUAAAGCGGGUGAAAAGCCCGCUCGCCGGAAGACCAAGGGUUCCUGUCCAACGUUAAUCGGGGCAGGGUGAGUCGACCCCUAAGGCGAGGCCGAAAGGCGUAGUCGAUGGGAAACAGGUUAAUAUUCCUGUACUUGGUGUUACUGCGAAGGGGGGACGGAGAAGGCUAUGUUGGCCGGGCGACGGUUGUCCCGGUUUAAGCGUGUAGGCUGGUUUUCCAGGCAAAUCCGGAAAACUAAGGCUGAGGCGUGAUGACGAGGCACUACGGUGCUGAAGCAACAAAUGCCCUGCUUCCAGGAAAAGCCUCUAAGCAUCAGGUAACAUCAAAUCGUACCCCAAACCGACACAGGUGGUCAGGUAGAGAAUACCAAGGCGCUUGAGAGAACUCGGGUGAAGGAACUAGGCAAAAUGGUGCCGUAACUUCGGGAGAA
rnacentral:rRNA from 1 species